rnacentral:rRNA from 1 species
UACGUAGGGUGCAAGCGUUAUCCGGAAUUAUUGGGCGUAAAGAGCUCGUAGGCGGUUUGUCGCGUCUGCUGUGAAACCGGGGCUCAACCCCGGCCUGCAGUCGGUACGGGCAGACUAGAGUGCGGUAGGGGAGAUUGGAAUUCCUGGUGUAGCGGUGAAAUGCGCAGAUAUCAGGAGGAACACCGGAGCGGAAGGCGGUCUCUGGGCCAACAGUCGACUGAGGAGCGAAAGCGUGGGGGAGCGAACAGGG